GCGCCUAUAGCUCAGCGGAUAGAGCACUGGCCUCCGGAGCCAGGAGCGCAGGUUCGAGUCCUGCUAGGCGCA
rnacentral:tRNA from 1 species